rnacentral:rRNA from 1 species
GUCUAUGCCCAUGCUACCCUGAACAAGCCUUAUUCCAUUUGAUCUCGGAAGCUAAGCAGGGCCGGGCUUGGUUAGUACUUGGAUGGGAGACCACCUAGGAAGACCAGGUGCUGUAGGCA